rnacentral:sRNA from 1 species
UCGGGGCUACGGCCCGACGGUUUUGGCGUCGCAGAGACGCUGCUUGUUACCCAUGUUGCUUUACGGAGGAUAUGGCUAUGAGAA